rnacentral:lncRNA from 1 species
CAUGACUUGGUUCCCUUUAGUUUGGCCAAUUCGCUUUGCUACACAGAUACACUAUGAAAAUCUCAAACGUGUGAUCCUAGUAAGCGCGAGUCAUCGGCUCACGUCCCUGCUCUCAAAUGUGUGAUGAGAAGGCCACACGCCACUGCUUCCUCGACCGGCUGUGGAGCGGAAACGAACAGCGCGUACACUCGAUUAUAACUAGAACUUCCGUUACCGAAAUGAACCACACACUUUGUUUAGUUGUUAAAUAAUUGACGGAUAUGAUAAUGUAUCUCAUCGACGGACGGCCUACCUUUCGACCGGGAAUGAUGACCAAAAAGAGGAUGGAAACCUCUGCAAGCCCGAUGGAUGAAUCAGCCAACGAUGACAUAGGCUUCGCAUCCCUUGGACACUGACCGGCCGUCGGCAUAAUGCUACUGGUAGUAGAUUAAAAGCAUGGUGCGAAUCUUGUGCCUAAAGAAAGUUGCUUAUUAAAAUAUGCAUCUGCGAUUCUGCGUGUAGGAAGUAACUGCGCGCGCAACGCAUGUUAGCUAGGCUUUUCAAGCUACGACCGGUAGUCAUUAUCUUGCAAACGUGUCCUAGAUUGUUGUUUAUGUAAUAUGCAUAGUACCACACACUGUGCUUGGCAAUUGAUCACGCGGGAUCAUGCUCCAAACAUUUGGUAGUGGGAUCGACAUAAGGGCAUGUCCAAGCCCGACCUGCAACCCGUACGGUCCGGACUAAACUUGGGAAUGGCUAUUAAAAAAUCA